ACCUAGCCCUGAUGGAAGUGACAUCCUUUUUCUGGCUCCUUUAGCCAGUAAAAGAUAUAGCGAACAGCAGGAAUAGCU
rnacentral:sRNA from 1 species